rnacentral:rRNA from 1 species
GUAAUACUCCAUAGUUCGUUAUUACUGGAAUGUUUUUCGAACGAAAGAUCCGUCGCUUCAGGAUGAGUCUGCGGCCGAUUAGGUAGUUGUUGGGGUAAUUGCCCAACAAGCCUGUAAUCGGUACGGGUUGUGGGAGCAAGAGCCCGGAGAUGGAUUCUGAGACACGAAUCCAGGCCCUACGGGGCGCAGCAGGCGCGAAAACUUUACCAUGCGGGCAACCGUGAUAAGGAAACCCCGAGUGCCAGCACAGGCUGGCUGUCCGCCAGUUUAAACAACUGGCGAAGAAAGGGCCGGGCAAGACCGGUGCCAGCCGCCGCGGUAAUACCGGCGGCUCGAGUGGUGGCCGCUAUUACUGGGCUUAAAGGGUCCGUAGCUUGAUAAUAGGGUCCCUUGAGAAAUCCGCCGGCUUAACUGGCGGGCGUUCAGGGGAAACUUGUUUUCUAGGGACCGGGAGAGGUGAGGGGUACUGCCGGGGUAGGAGUGAAAUCCUGUAAUCCCGGUGGGACCACCUAUGGCGAAGGCAUCUCACCAGAACGGGUCCGACAGUGAGGGACGAAAGCUGGGGGAGCAAACCGGAUUAGAUACCCGGGUAGUCCCAGCUGUAAACUAUGUGCGUUAGGUGU